rnacentral:tRNA from 1 species
GCCUGGGUGGCUCAGUUGGUGAAGCAUCUGACUUUGGCUCAGGUCGUGACCUCACAGUUCACAAGUUCAAGCCCUGUAUCAGGCU